rfam:Alligator sinensis unplaced genomic scaffold scaffold280_1, whole genome shotgun sequence
GGUACCAUGGUUUAGUUGGUUAAAGUGCCUGUCUAAUAAACAGGAAGUCCUUGGUUCACGUCCCUCUGAUACUU